GGUGGGGAACGGGAGCGCAGGAGGGAACCGGAGCUCCCGACCCGCCGGUUGUUUUGGCUCCGGAAGCCCGUGCCCUCCUCCGAAGAUGCUGUCGGCCCGGUCCCCUCAGCAGGGAGUGUGGUCCGGGAAGCCCCGCUGCCCGCUGACAGUGGUAGUGGAGGAGACAGUAACCUCCAGGACAGGGAGGCUGUCUGUCUGCCUGGACCUCCUGUCAGACUCUAGAGUUUUCCCUGGGAAAUGAUCCGGGUGUUUUGAUUAAUUGUUGUAAAAUUAGUGGUGAAUUGUUUAUAUAAACAUUUUAGUAAAAAUAAAUAAGACUCACAUUUAUCCUUUUUUCUGUAGUUAUAUUGUCUAAAAUUGUGGAGGAUAUUUAAAGCUUAAAAUGAAGUGUUUUUAGAAUCUUUAAAUGUAUUCUUUUUAUGUCUUUUUGUUUUGUUUGAUUUACAAAGUAAACACUACGUUAUCAACCAUACAUUAAAUUGCAACAUUCCAUAAUACAUAAAAGUCUCAAAGAGGCACUUCACUAGAACUUACUAGAAUUUACUCACUAACUUUUGUUUUAAUGAUGGCAGCUAAAGAAGCCUUUAAGUUCCUCAAGUUAAUGACUGUUUUGUAAUGCAAUUUGCACUUUUAUUUACUACAAAGACGUGUUGGAACAAUUUAUUUUAUUUUAUAAGAACAGUAAAUGUUUAAAAGUUUAAGUAUUAUUAAAGAGUUUAUUUAAAUACAAACACUGGGUUUUUUUCUUUCAUAAUGUCGAUAAUCGUGAAUAAUCGUAAAAUCACAAUAUUUCCUUCCACAAUAAUCGUGGCUCAAAAAAUUGAAAUCGUGACAACCCUAGCUCCAACUGAAACUUGAAUUAGAACUUAGAAGUAAAUCGUUCCAUCUGAAAGGAUUUAGUUGCAUUAAUAACCUCAUAACAUUCUAAUUUUUAUUCCAGUCUUGGCUGGAAAUAGAAUCUCUGUAUUGAUUCAGGUAAAAACUGAACUUCACAGCAUGUUGAAGCAAAACAACCAGAUGAAAACUGUGAUGGUGUUGGAUUGUCAGACCGUAAUGUUGCAGCUCAAAGCAGCUUUUCUAGCUCAGUUCAUUCUGACAUUCAGCUAUGAAUCAACACAGCAGAUGGUGAUCCAUGCUGUGGAAGUCUCACAUCUCCUGAUUUAAUGGAGCUGCUUUGCACUUUUUACACUGUUUAUUCACCAACACUUUAUUUAAUAAAAGUCCCAUCUAGUUUUUAUGAGGAAUGUGAUGUUUUAAUUUCUCUGUGAAUAACUGCAGUCUAAUGGAACAGCUGGAGUUGUAACAUCUGUCCUGAUAUUGAUCAUGAAGUAUUGAUCACAAUACUUAUGGUUAGCAGUCAUCCCUGAAGUUUUACAUUAAAAUCUUUACUUGUGUUGUGAACUUUGGUAAGAAGCAGAAACGUUAGCGUUGCCAUGGAUACAUGAGUGUUAAAUUCUGUCCAUGUUUCCAUUUUGGGAAAUGCAGUCCAGUUCCAGAAUGUGGAGGAAUUUAGUCUCACAAUCACAGACAACAAAUAUUAUCUGGAAGUCCGGUUAUUGUUGUUUAUCAGCACAAUACAAAAAGAUUAAUGUUAGAAAUAUUCCAGUUAAGACUCUAGAAUAUCAUGAUUUAUGAAAAUUUACCUCAAUAAUAUGAAUGUUCAGGUUAAGAUUGUACAGUGAUAUUUAUUAUGUAAGUUUAGCUGAUUGAAGUUUAUGACUCUGCACUAAAAUAUUAUUUAAAUUGACAUCAUUAUUAUAAUAUUUAGGGUCAGACCCUACAGUAUUGAGAUUAAGAAAUAAAAUAUUUUAUAAAAUGUAAAUACACUGAACUCAUUUGGAUAUAUUUAAGUGAGACUACAAUAUUAUUUGACACAAAUGUAUCUAAAUCAAAAUUUUAAUAAUUUUCACGCCAAACAUUUACUGGACUGAUUUAAACAUUAAAAUCACUCCUUUCUAAUCCUCUGCUGUACGUUCAAACCUGAGGCCUUAACUAGAAACACACAAGUAUCUGAUUGAAGGAACUUCUGCAGAGUCCUGGUUCCAGAACAUGAUGAUAGAAUUAUAGACAAACUUGAACAAAAGCUGCCUGUGAGUUUACAGGUUUUUAUGUCAGAUUUCUUCAGUAAUUUAAUGAGAGUUAUCAGCAAAAAUCAAGUGUUCAUUUGAUGAACUUCAUUUCCUAGAACAUACAGAAUUAGAGCUCAUAUCUUUGGCAGCUGUAAAGUUUCUGCUCCUUCAAAGUUCACAACACAAUGAAUGAAUUCCUAAAACACUCUAAAUGCUGGAGAGCGUUUGUGAUGCUGAAGCAGUGAGCAGUUUUUCUGUUUCUUCUCUGGAGAUGCACAAUGAGGGACGUCUGCAGCGACUGAGAAAGAGUCUCACCACAUCCUGACAUGAGGAAAAAGACUUUAUUGAAGACUACAAUGAGAAAAACUAUCAGACAGCAGACGGCUGCAUUCAAGUCUGUAGCUGCUGAAUUCAUGGAUGAAUCAUCUGGCACUAGAGAGGAAGACCAUCAAACAUCCACGUCAGCUGAUGGAGGUCCAAGAGUCUCACCCAACAAACAACCUACAGAGUGAAGAGCUCAAAUCUGAUUGGACGGCCUCCUAUUCAGCCACAUGUGUGAACAAAUGUCUCUAAGCUGAUUUGUUUUCUAAAAUAAAUCUAGUUUGAGUCCUAA